ACGGAAGGCAGCAGUGGGGAAUAUUGCACAAUGGGCGAAAGCCUGAUGCAGCGACGCCGCGUGAGUGAUGAAGUAUUUCGGUAUGUAAAGCUCUAUCAGCAGGGAAGAUAAUGACGGUACCUGACUACGAAGCACCGGCUAAAUACGUGCCAGCAGCCGCGGUAAUACGUAUGGUGCAAGCGUUAUCCGGAUUUACUGGGUGUAAAGGGAGCGCAGGCGGUACGGCAAGUCUGAUGUGAAAGCCCGGGGCUCAACCCCGGUACUGCAUUGGAAACUGUCGAACUAGAGUGUCGGAGGGGUAAGUGGAAUUCCUAGUGUAGCGGUGAAAUGCGUAGAUAUUAGGAGGAACACCAGUGGCGAAGGCGACUUACUGGACGAUAACUGACGCUGAGGCUCGAAAGCGUGGGGAGCAAACAGGAUUAGAUACCCUGGUA
rnacentral:rRNA from 1 species